rnacentral:RNase_P_RNA from 1 species
UGAGUCGGUCGGACGGUCGCGUCGGUGCUCCGGCACCGCCGAGGAAAGUCCGGGCUCCGCAGGGCAGGGUGGUGGCUAACAGCCACCCGGGGUGACCCGCGGGACAGUGCCACAGAGAACAGACCGCCACGACCCCACGGUGUGGGGCGCGGCAAGGGUGAAACGGUGGUGCAAGAGACCACCAGCGGCCCGGGUGACCGGGCCGGCUCGGUAAACCCCACCCGGAGCAAGUCCAGACAGUGCGUGAUCGAGGGCGGCCCGCCCGAGCGCACGGGUAGGACGCUGGAGGCCGUCGGCGACGGCGGCCCGAGAUGGAUGACCGUCACCCGGUCGCCGGCGACGGCGGCCGGGGACAGGACCCGGCUUACAGACCGACUCAUCCC